rfam:Daucus carota subsp. sativus cultivar DH1 chromosome 3, whole genome shotgun sequence.
ACGACCUUACUUGAACAUGAUCUGUUCUAAAGGAUCGUACCUCUGCAUCCUUUAUUUUUAAGGAGGCGGGUCACUGAGUCUGGUUGAUGAAAUGGUACUGCUUGACUAGAGCCUGACUAACAGCUCUUCCUGGUCUGUGUGAAGUGCUGUAAAGGAUCGUUCUCAGCCUGGUUUCGGUAAAGGAUCGUUCUCAGCCUAGUUUCCUGACUGGGGUGGUCAUGCAAUUGUUUGACAGACC